CUUUUAUAACACUCCUUUCAGAAUUAGCCAGGGGCCCGAAAGAAUUAUCUUGAUCAUUUCAAUUGUCAAACACCUCAAAGGCCUGUCACUUCCAACAGGCCUUGCCUCAUAAGGGCCCCAUCACCUCUUAACACUGCAAUACUGGACAUCAGGCUUCCAAUAGAAAAACCUUGGGAGACACACCACAUCCAGUGGGAAGGUAAUGCAUUUCUAUAACAGGGUCAACACUUUCAAAAUUUUAUGAAAAUGGACAUAAAGGCAUAGGCAGCAGUGAACUCAACCCAGAAAAGAAAGAACUAGAAAUUCCUUUGCAGAAAACCUAAACACCAACCUCAGCAUAGACUAAAUUUGCUUCAUACAAGUAUUUCUGAUAAACACAGCAUACUGGUACUCAGGAGAAUGGGAAGUUACUAGAUAAAUGCAGGGGGAGAAAUAAGGUUGUAGGUUUAGACUGCAAACAGGGGACAACAUACCCAGGCAGAAACCAUGGAGAAACUUUCUUGUAACAGAAAGUCUUGUGACAGAGCUUAAUCCCAGCUCUGGGAUUUGAGUGCUUCUUCAAACAUUCCUACUAUUAGAGAUUUCUCUCCCUAUGCAUUUUUUUAUUCCUUUACUCAGGUCACAUAUGACUCCCUGGGCAUCUGGAGCUGCCUAGGGUAAUGCUGAAACAUUCACAUUUUGGGAACAUUCAAGUUGGCACAUAAACUUGGGAAGACUUGACUUUCCUGGAGACAUCAAUUUCGUAGAAAUUGGCUCAACAUGAAAUCCAUAUAAAAAUCUACCUACCCAUGGCUGUAGGUAAAAACAUACCAAAUAGUAAAUACUCAGGGUGAACAAUUCAGAAAUUCUUAUAUAUGAUAUAUUGACUGUGUUAAAGGUACUGAAUUCCAGUUAGGAGUUUUGUUGCAUGAUUAGAUCAUGACUGUUCUUGACAUGGGGGAAUAUAUGUAUCUAUGUGAGAUAAGAGAUAAAUGAGUUUGUUCAAUUCUAGUGACAAUUUCACUCAAUCUUAUGGUAUUGUUUUUGUCUACCUUAAAAUGCACAGUAAAAUUUGUUUUCAAAAAUUUGGUCAAGUACUUGAGUAGAUAUAUUUUCAGACAAAGUGCUCAGUAGAUACAUUAAAUAUGCUCAUAGUGACUAAUCAGUAAAAUGCUAAAAAAUAUGAAGAGAUAUUACCUCACCGUUUUGGGAGGGUUAAUAUUAAAAAUAUUAACCAGAGAUAAAAAGUAUUGGCAGUAAUAUGGAGCAAAGAGAACCUUGGGCAGAUUAUUUGGGAGAUUGUGUAAAUCGGCACACCCACCAUGGAAAAACUGCAUAAAGGUGCCUUGGAAAAUUGAGAGUAAAACUUACAUGUGAUACAGCAAUCCCCCUACCUGGAAUGCAUCUGAAAGAAAAUAAUUUAUCUCUCACAGAAACAUCUGUAUCUCCAUUUUUCUUGCAAUACUGUUCACAAGAAGCAAGACAGAAGCAAGGAAAGACAGUGUCCACCAGUGGAUGACUGUGUGUAGGUGAUGUGGAAUGUCCACUAACGUUCAAUGGAAUGUUAUUGAGCCUUCUAAAUAGGUAAAAUUUGUCCCUGUGCUGAUGUAAGUGAACACUGAGGAUAGUAUUGUGACAUAAAUCAGACAAGAUUACAGUUUGAUAUCUCUUAUGUGACAUCUAAUAGGUCAACUUCAUAGAAAUAGAGUGGAAUGGUGGUUGUAAAGAGGUGGGUAGUGAGAGACACAAGGAGGUUGUUUAAAGUGCACAAAAUUCCAUUCUAACAUCAACAAGGAUUUGCUGUAUAAUGUGGAGAAUGAAGUUAAUAAUACAUUUUUGUAUACUUGAUAUUUGCUUUAAGAUCUUAAAUAUCCUCACCGCACAUACAUCUUAAGUGAUAGAUAUGUUAAUUAAGAGGCUCUGGUAAGCAGUUUACAAUAUCUACUUAUGUAAGAUCCAUGUGUUGUACACCAUGUAUGUGUACAAAUGUAUUUGUCAGUCACACCUCAGCAGAGCAGGACUGAGUCUGCACAUACCCUGUUUUUCAGGCACGCUUGGUUCUUCAUUCUGAGCUGCAGCCUUCAUACUGAACUUCCACCCAUCCCUCACAGCCAUGAAGACAUUCCACAUCCCAACUCCCACAUGCACAACUAUGUCCUGAUAUUUAAUGUUCAUUCUUCUGUGGUGCCUAUCCUAGGGACCUCAGGACAGUCAUUCUUCCUCUCAUUACCCCAAGACCCAUCAUUAGUGCUCUUCCUUCUCUUUUAUUUGCUUUCAAUUCCAUUACCUCUGACCAUCCCCUGAGCUCCUGGGUCCCACACAACCAAAUGUCCAAGAUCAACUCUCAGGUAUUCUCAACACACAGUUCAAACUCCAAACUGAUUGCCACCAACCCCAACAUCCUCCACCUUUCUUCUGGUUGCAUGCCUCUUUAUAUCACUUCUUUCCUGUGUGCCUGGUCUUAAAUCAAGACACUUUUCCUUUUUUCCACUGGUCUCAUUUUCUGUCCCUUAGUUAUACCACAUGGUUGUAAAGACUCAUACUUAGUCUUAAAAUCUAGAAGUGUACAUCUUUUAAUUUGCUUUUCCUGGUGUUUCUCUUGCACUUUGGGCCAUCACGGCCUCCUUAGCUCUCUACUUACUUUGUUUCCUCCCCCCCCCCCGCCAAUACUCUUUGUCUCAUUUGUCUCCUUCAAGAAACAUUGUGUCUCUCUAGAUUCACUUCUUUGUCAUAUUCUGGGCCUGUUUUGGACAAGUACUUAAUCCAGGACCUGCUACCCCAGCUUUAUUCACAACUUCUCACCACACCUAUGUAUGAAUGCCUCUGAGGCAUUGAAUCUUCUACAAAUUUUACAAUACAGUGAGCUUCAACAUUUUUGAUGUUCACUCUUCAUCCUCAGUACCACCUUAAUUCCUGUGAAACCAUGUACCCCAUGUAUUUUGUACCUGCUGGGGCCUAUGUCUUUAUGUUCCUUGGCUUUUUGCCCAUGUGUGCCUACACUUAGUCAUGCCAAUGAGCUUUUGCUGGAUACUUAAUGAACUUUGUCUGUGUCCUCUACAUCACAGGAUUUGCACAAUCAAAUUUCCCAACCCCCCUAUUCCCCAUGUUCUUAUUUAGUACCACUUCAAUCUAAUACCAGUUUACCGUUACUGCACAAAACAUACCUGCAUUCAUACCACACCUGUAUGAUAAAUCUCACAGCAUUUGUUAAGGGACAUAUUGUAAAUAGUGUCCUUGCAGGGUUGGAGGGAUUUAUAAUAAUUGAAAGGGUUUUUGUACUGUGUUCACCCAUCAUACUUGCUGCAGAAUUAAUGUUAGCAGCCCUGGCACAUCUUAGAGUUACAGAUAUGUUGGCUCAAGCAGGUCAAACCAUCUUAUCCUGUUGCUGUCAUUGGUGAGUGAGAAUUUUUCUACAUUUUUUUAUGGACAUUAUUUCUCCCUCCUGUCAGUAAGAGGUCAAUAUUGGUAGAGUAUAUUUAUUCACAAAAUUAUGAUAUGAAUUGACAACCAAUUAUGCAAAUGAGUCCAAUUAAUUAACUCAUAUUUGUGCAGAUGAAUUCAGUGACUUUCAAAGUGAACAACUAGCAUCACCUAAAUUUCUCUAAACAACAAAUUCUAUGAAAUAUAUGAAUUCAGAUGACUGAAGAAAUUCUAGUAUUUCAACUUUCAAAUGCCACACAUGGGCCAGUUUGCGUGAAUGUCUCCUGUUAUAAAUAUCAUUCACUAACCUUGCUUCCUUGAAACAAAUUUACUUAGGUAUUAAUUAACUCACAUUUUUAUCUUCUUAAAUCAGUGAAUAUUUGCUUCUGCCAUACAAUCUUUCAUCAUACAUUUGUGUUUUAUGUUCCAAAGCUGAGGAUAUAACUUGAGAAUGUGGCACAAUUACUGUGAUAGCACUUGUUUUCCUAACACACAAACAAAUGAGUCAGGGAACCAGUCCUGCCUCAUUGCACAUAACUCACCAUGGGACAUGUGCCUCAGAGCUAUAGUUCCAACUCAAUGCAUUUGCAGUUAUUAAAAUAUUUAAAUGUUCCUUUAUGUAAUUGAUAUUGCAUAUUGUAUUAGUCAGGGUUCUCUAGAGGAAAAGAAUCAACAGGAAGUACAAUUAUAAAAGGAGAAUUUAUCAGAUUGGCUUAUAUUACUGGAAGCUGGAUCGUCAACAAUGGCCAUCUGCAGGUCAGACAGCUGGAAGGAAGAAUCAGUAGGUGCAAAGUCCAAGAGGCUGAAGCCUGGGCCUGAACAAGAGAGAUUAGCAGUGCUACUCUAGUUUGAAACCAAAGGUUUCUGGAGAAUCACCUUUGGAAGAGUAAAAAAGCAAGAGUCUGAUAUCCUCAGAUGAUGGUAGCAGCAAUCAAGAACCCAUUCAAGAAAAAGUCAACCAUGCAUCUGCUGCUGUUUCCUUGUUCUUCCAACUUUUAUUCCAUACAAGUCAUCAUCAUAUUUGGUGCAGCCCAUUCUUAGGGAGGGUCUCCAUUUCAGUUGGCUAUCCCACAUGCCAACCAUUCUAGACACAUAGACAUACCCAUAAUCCUCUUAAUCCUAGGUAUCUCUUAAUCUGAUGAAGCUGACAAUUCAAAUUAACCAUUACACAUGUAGAAUAAAUAUUUAUAAUCAAUGGGAACCUUUUUUUCAAUAAGAAAUUCCAAAAUACUACUAGUUCAGAAGAUAGUAGUAAUAUAGAAAAACAAAUACAACACAAAAAUCCAGAAUGAUAGAAGAACUCCACUUACUAGCUUUAGGGAAACAUUGUGGUUCAUGGCACCCUCUCUUUAACCACUGACAAUUUCAAAACCCCUCUCUGCACCUAAUCAGAGUAAGACUUUGAGACUUAACCUCUGUAUACCCAAAUUCUCCUUGUAAUCAUGAAAGUAAUCUCAGCCCCUGCUUCAUGUUGAGAAGAUUAAAAAAUCACCAUGUGCUGCAUUUAGAGCAGGGAUUUUUACACACUUUGUGGUUUAAUUCUUAAUUCAAGCAUCAUGAAACCUGCUAGUGAGAAUGAAACCUUAAGUUCAAUUUUACAGUUCCCACUUGAGAGAGGGCAAUGUUGGAUUUUGGUUGACAGGACACAGGUAGUCCAGGCCUCCUAUUCCCCUGCAGGACCCUCUGGCUAGAACAGCAGGGAACUGGCAGGAUGGCAGCCAGUGAUAAGGCUGUAGGAAUCAUCUUCCUGUCACAGACUGUCGUUGGAGUUCUGGGCAAUUCCUGUCUUCUCUAUUACCUGUUAUUUUCUUCACUGGGUGCAGGUUAAGGCCCACAAAUUUGAUUCUUAAGAACUUGAUUGUGGUCAAUUUGUUAAUUCUCCUGCAUAAAGAGAGUCCCCAGACAGGGGCACUUUUCAGUUUGGAAGUUUUCCUUGGUGAUUUUGGAUGUAAGCUGCUUUUCUAUGUUAACAGGGUGGGCAGUGAUGAGUCCAUUGUUACCAUAUGCCUUCUGAGUGUCUUCCAGGCCACCAUCUUCAGCCCAGUGAAUUUAGGUGGGCAGGGCUUAAAGUGAAAUCUCUCAGGUACAUUGGUACCUCCGUAUACCUGAGCUGGAUCCUGUAACUCCUACCUGAGCUGGAUUCUGUAACUCCUUGUAAGUAUGCCUUUCUUACUUACAUGACUGGGAAAGGGAGCUCCAAAAAUGUCAAGAUCUUAGUAGAUUUUCUGGUGCUCUAAUGAAAAAGCCCUGGAAUCAUUGCUUGCAGCAACCCUGUCACUCCCUGAUGCUGUAUGUGUGUGUAUGGAAGCAGGGAUGCUCAUGCUCUAGGCCAGCAGCUCCAUGGUGCUCAUUCUGCACAGGCACAAGCAGAGAAUGCAGUGUGUUUGCCCAGGUCCUCCCCUGAGUACAGAGCCAACAAAACAAUUCUUGUCCUAGUGAGCACUUUAGUAUUUUUAUACACUUUCCUGUAUCUUUAAUAAUCCCAAAUUGUUCCUGAUAAUUUUGGCUGCAAUAAUCUCUGGGUGCUUUCCAGCUUUCAACCCCUUUUUGCUAAUAAUCAAAGACACCAGCACAUUCAGGCUAGUUUGCAUGUAUAAAAAAAAUCUUAAAUUUCUAAUUUAUGAGGAGAAUGUAAAAUAUGCACUCUAUUAGGUUUUGUACAAUUUAUAGUUUUUUAUUUAUUCUUACCAACAGAAAUUUAAGCACAGUUAAUAUCAGUCAUAUCAUUUGUGAGUGUUGGUUUAUACACAUACCCUUGUGUGUUAUAAAUGUGUGUGUAUGGUUUUAUAUGUGUGUUUGUGAACAUGAACAUGCACACAUGCAUAUAUCUUGAUUGUUAUGAUCUGUCAAUAAUAAUUUUGAAAAAUUAUAUGUAAAUUUUAUAUUUAAUUAGAACUAUUUCAAACUGAUUUCACAUAAUUUCAUAUAGAUUAAAAAUGUUAAAAUUUUAGAUUAAAUCAUGUUAAAAAUGUGGAAAGAAUUUUUCAUUUAUCUACUUUCAUGUUUAUGUCUUAGCUCUGUGUCUUUGAAGAAUUUUCCAAGUUAAUGUACUCCAAUGAUAUUUGCCUUUAGCAGGUAAAUUUAGUUAUUUUUAAUAUAGUAUAAGGAAAGUAAAAAGAUAAAUAGAGACAAGAUGCAGCAGAAAGGUGGUUGCUCAUCCAAGCAGCUGCAUUUAUUUAUACCAAUAGGUUACAUUAGGUCAUUACUGCCACAACUACAUUAUAGUUUAUGGUAUGAGUAAAGUGGCUUAUUCUGCAGUUACAUUCUACAGUUACAAUAUGCAAUGUUAGGAGCUUUGUGCAGCUCUCAAGAAAGUCCAUUGUCUGAAGUUACUGUUAGGUGGGCAGAUCCAGGAUCAGCAAAGCUUAGAGAAACAUUGUGGUUAUCUAGCAAGCAAGUUCCUUUAUUCACAGGAGCUAUGUGCCUGAGAUCAAGGUCAAGGCUGAUAAGACUAUAGAACAGAGCAGGGCAUUGCCAUUACAGCUAGAUGGUUCACAUGUAUUAGUUAUCUUACUAGUUCCUAGUAAAAACUGCAGGACAUUCUAAGGGUAGUAAAAUGGUGUUUGUUACUCCCCAGGAGUUUGCUCACCAGAGGAAUGUUCCUCUAUAAUAUUUCCAUGGUCAGAAUCCCUACAAUAUAGAAAUGGACAGAAUGGGAUGCAAUUGUCCACUAAAAACCCCUGCUCUGUUUCAUAUAUUUCAUGUCCACCUUGAUAAUAUACAUUAGGUGUAAUUUUUUAUUGUUACAAAUGAUUUUUAAAUUACCAAUAAACCAUCAAAGCAGCUUUAUGUACAAAUCAUUCAUAAAUUACUAAGUAAAAUUUUAUAAAGUAUAUACACUUUUGCCUUCAGCUUCUUCUACAUCAAAAUACAAUCUUGUCCAUCUCAAAGAUUCCUCUUUGUGCCUCUACCAUAAUGAUAUUCAACAGGGACCAGUAUGUGACAUUAAAUACCAUAGAUCAUUUUCAUUUUUUGUACUUUCUAUAAAUGAAAAUGAUCAGAUUCAACUCUUUUAUAUUUGACUUAGAAAAUUGUAUUUUCAUUGUACUUUGUAUUUUCACAUUUUGUUGGUAAUAGAAUUCAACUGCAGAAAUAUUAUUUACUUCAUGCCUUCCUCUCUGGACACAUAAGUGAAUUCCUCCCCCCCCCCAAAAAAAAGAAACUUCCAUGUGCUGGAAGAUUUGCAAGGUUUUGGAGGAGGUGGAAACUUUGACGUGUGGAUGCAAGUACAAGGUGGUUGGGUCAUUGGGAGGUCAUGCUUAAAGGGAUAAAUGGUAAUGUCUGGAGUAUAUCAGUUCCCAUGAAAUUGGGCUGUCUUACAGAGAGUUCUGGUGUCUCUGCUGUCUCACUCCCUGUCCUGUCCUGUGGUCUAUUGUGUAUGUGCUCCCAUGAUUGUGAUUUCACCUACUCUUAGUUCCUCAAAGAGUUGAGCAGAUGCUGGCAUCAUACUCUUGAAUCUCCCAAACUGUAGGUCACUAAAUUUCUUUGUCAAGUACUCAGUCUGGGGUAUUUGGUUAUUGCAACAGAAAAAGAUAACAUGACAUGGUCAUUUUUUAGUUUGAAGUAUCAUGAUGAGGACUCACCUGUAGUUUCACAGUGUGUUUUUAAUGAUAAUUGUAAGAGUUUCUGCUGCUAUGUGUGUAAAGGUGAUUGAUUCAUUGAUUAUAGGUUUACAUCUCCUUGGCUUUAGAAUAUACUGACUGAGUUUAUCAAAUGUCUGUAUGAGUUUCAACCAAGUAGAAGCUCUUAUUUUAAUAGAAAUACUUUUAUAUGUCUUUAUUUAAUGUUAAUAACAUAGGUUCUGUUAAACAUAGAUGCAUAUACUAAGACAUAUAUGCAUAGGGAGGUGGUUCCCUUCAUUUUCUUCAAGGACAUCAAUUAAUAACUUAAAAAUUUACAUCAGAAAACCAUUCAGAAUCAGCUUUUUAUAUGUGUUGGUAGUUAUUUAAGUCUUUUUAAAAAGUAAACAAUAAAUUUCAAUGUUUUCUGAAAAUGUACAGUAGAUACUUUUUCUCUCAUUUAUCAUCAUAUAUUCUAUAUUUUAAAACAUCUGGGAAAAUAUUUUGAGAAGUUUUGCCCUAAGACAUGGUAGCUAUUUGAGAGACAAGUAUGCCUAACCUGAUUUGAAGAUUGCUAAUGUGCACAUUGUAUUCAAAUAUCUUGUGAUACCCUAUGAAUAUGUACAAUUUUUAGUAUCAUUUAAUAAUAAAUACCUUUGGCUGGCCAGAGUGGUGCAUGCCUAUAAUCCCAGUGGCUUGGGAGGCUGAGCUAGAAGGAUGAAAGUUUAAGACUAGUCUCAGAAAAUAAGUGAAGCACUAAGAAACUUAGCUAGAGCCUGUCUACAAAUAAAAAGGCCUGCAGAUGUGGAUCAGUAGUGAACAGCUCCUGGGUCAAUCCUUGCUACCAGUAAUAACAAUAGUAAAUUAAUCAAUUAAAACUUUCCUUUUGUUUCAUAGUGUCAUUGGCUCACAUACUUACUGUCUUCAAUUCCAGCAGUAAUGUAAAAAGAACCUCUCAUACCUUAUAUCUCUGACUGUGUCCUCUGCUGCAUCUCUGUAUUCUGCUUUGAGGGCCCAUGUAAAUAGAGUAGGACAAUCAGAUACCAGUGUGUACACCAGUGUAUAAGAGAAAAAUAUCUCCCCCUCUAUGAUCUGCCAAUCAGCAGUCUUAGCAUCAUCUUUAAACCCCAGUUAACCCAAUGUAACCUCAGGAGUGAUGGCAAGAGCAUUCUCCAAGUCGUCUUGGAACAACCCUGUUCACAGUCCCACGUUAUCCCUUGUAGUUCUCAGGACAACUGCAAAAUAUACUGAGAAGGUAACACCAUAAGCUAGGAAGAAACUAAGUGGAACAACAUAAUUUCUAUUCCAGUUUUCCUAGAAUCAGUAUGUCCUUUAAUGAUUUAGAGAGUGUUGUGGUUCUAGGGCACAAAACCCAAGGUGGACAUCUUCCUGGGGUCCUUAAGCUUUAGUGUAAGUGGACCAUAUUUGGAUGAAACUGAAUCCUCUGUGUGGAGCCUUCAUGACUGCCAGGGACAAGCUUGGAAUGAAUCCAAAGCUUCUGCAUGCCCUUGCUCCCUGUCCGUAAGUAAUAAACCUGUCUCAUGUACCCAGGGUGUGUGGAUGUUCUGUUUCAUCAGACUAAAAGAAGUUGAUUUCCAGUCCAAAAUCAAUUUGCUUUACAAUAAUAUCUGGGGUUGGGAAUUUUCUAUGGCAUGGUUUUGAAUUUUAAAAACCAUAGAAAUUGUAAAUAUACCUACAAAUAAUUUACCCUUAAUGAGUAUUAGGAAAAAUAAUAAGAGGACACAGAAACAAGAUGUAGAGGCAGAAAGAAAAAUGGAUGCUUUUCCAAGUGACAGUGUUUAUUUACAUGGAUAGGUUACAUUAGGUAAUUAGGACCAUAAUUACAUUUUUAUUGCUUAGAGUACCAGCAAUGUUGUUUAUUCUGCAGUUUUAUUCCACAGUUACAAUAUGCAAAGUCAGAAGCUUUGUGCAGCUCUUAAGAAAUUCAUUGUCUAAAGUAACUUUUAAGUGGGCAGAUCCAGGAACAAGGGAGCUUAUUGAAACAUUGUAGUUAUCCCAGCAAGCAAGUUCCUUUAUUCCCAGGAAUUAUAUGCCUAAAAUCAAGGUUGAGACUGAGAAGACUCUAACAUAGAGCUUCUUCAUAAAGGACAUUGCUACAGCAGAGAGGCAUCCCAUGGCUUUACACAAAAGUUUUCCAGCAGCCAGGCAUUUUGUGUCUUUACAAAGAAACUUCCUAGCAGCCAGGCUUUCUGUGCCUUUGCACAGAAACUUUCUACCCAGCAAGCAUGCCACAAUCAUGAAGUUUAUCAGAGACCCCAAUCCCAAACACAGAACCCUCAUAGAUGAGCCCUGUGAUGAUUUACUAAAAGAAAGAACAGGGGAGCUGGGGAUGUGGCUCAAGCGGUAGCGCACUUGCCUGGCAUGCGUGCGGCCCAGGUUCCAUCCUCAGAACCACAUAUAAACAAAGGUGUUGUGUCCACCGAUAACUAAAAAAUAAAUAUUAAAAUUCUCUCUCUCUCUCUCCCUCUCUCACUCUCUCUUUAAAAAAAAAGAAAGAAAGAACAGAGGCAGUGGAUUAGACUUACACUUUUAGCUUGUCUUUUUGUUUUAUUUUUUAUAAUAAUAUAUAUGUAGAUAUAGAUAAAUAGGUGGAUAGAUAGAUAUUGAAGCUGAUAAAGCUAAAUAUUGUGUGCCAUUUUAGUUUUUGUUCUUUAUUGAAAUAUCAUUAACGUGUGUUUAAGGAAUGCAAUUAUAUAUAUAUAUAUAUAUAUAUAUAUAUAUAUAUAUACACACACACACAUACACACACACAUAUAUAUGUGUAUACAUGCAUAUAUACACAUAUAUGUAUAUAUAUGUAUAUAUAUAUAUAUAUAUAUAAAUGAUCAUCACAGACAAAGUAGAUAUCAUUUUCACUUCACAGAGAUUCCUUUUGGAAUCUUCAUGUCUUUUUUUUAACUCUGCAUUUUUUCUCUCCCUCUCCUAUUUUCUCAUCACUCUUUAAAUAUCUAGAACAUUCCAGACCACUUGCAUAUAUAGUAAAAUUUAGAACAUCACUGUGCAUGCACGAAGAAAGCACCAUCUUAGGAGAGACUGAGAAGACUUUAAUUUUAAACCUUGGGUUCUUCCCUAUUUGUUAGAAGACAUACCAUAACUAUAAAAAAAUGGAAAUAGAAAAAUCUAAAUUCCAGACCUAACAUAUUCAAGUGUCUCAUUUCCUAUCAUUUCAGUUUCUAUGUCUCAUACUGUGUGUUUCUUUUUGCCUCAUCUUGUCUUUAUCUGCUGUCUCUUUGUACAUGUGUAUGCUUUUAUAUAAAAUAAAUUUAAUCUUAAUAAAAUCUGUCAUCUAUACAGUUGGUGUAUUUUUAAGGAAAUGUUAAAAUAUGAUGCUGAGACUACUAAAAUUGUCCUUUUAGAAACUUUUCAUAUUUUCUUCAUUAUUUCCUUUGAAAAUCCAUUAUGAAUUUACAUAUCCAUGAUGUAGGUGAGGAUUGAUGUUUUCCUGUUCCAGGUAUACUUCAGGUUCAAGUAAUUCAGGCUAAGUACACUUCAGGUUCCAGUGAAAGUGUCUAGUUGCACUUUCUUUCCCUCUCUCUCAUUUCUCCCCCAAGCCUAUACCCCCAUCCUCAGGGACCACUUUCCCAUGAAACACUGAGUACACUCUACCUCUGUGCUCAUGCUUGGAAAUCUCUGGCAAUCCCACAAAGCAGCACCUAAAUCAUUCUUGGGGACAAACUCUACCAUGAGCCCCUGUGCUUAGAGGAAUCCUUGUUGUCAUGAUUUACCAUGGUGAAUGACAGCAGAGCCUGAAGACCUCGGGCAAUAUCUUGUUCUUCUCAAGAAUGCUGUCAGAAUCCCAGACAUGUAUCUCUUCUCUGCCAUCAUCUCUUCCUCAUAACUCACAACACGGUAUUCUUUCCAUAUGAUUCCCAGGCACCUGUGUACACCAGCUCCUGGUCACAUUUUCUAAGGGACUUCUCCAAGCAAUGGAAGCAUUGCUAAUUCUAUUUUCACCCAGCCUUGUCCUGCUACUGGCCUCACCUGACUCUUCUCCUUAGCAGGUAUCCACCAUGAAGAUCUUCCCACCACAGUAACCCGGAACUCUGGAGGAGGCGGUCUGGGCCUGUGUGAGACCUUUUUUUAAAAAAAACUUGGUUCAGUCAUUGAGUCCUCUUAAUGUCCUUUGGGAUCCCCUAUAUGCAGUGUGUACAUCACACAGGACAUUUUAGGGGCCAGUAUGUAAAGAAGCCCAAAUCUUCCCACAUCAUUGGCUCAGGCUCACUGAAUUAUCCAACACAAAGGAGGCCAAGGGGAAAACAGUUGAUAAGCAAAUGCUAACAACCCGUCCAACAGGUCUGUGACCCCUGAGGCUUCACCCAAAGAGAGUAUGUAUGGAGAGGAGAGAGAAAUCAGAGGAAAAAAAUAGUAAAAUAAAAAAAGAUGGUACCAGUUCAGCCCAGCUCUGCCAUGGACUAACAUGGCAGUUUGCACUCAUAUGCUGAAUCUCCUGAAGCUUUUGUAUAUCAGGUUGCAUGAAGCUAAAAUGAAUAGAUCAGUAAUUGUGAUGAGGACUGAUUGAAGAAAUGCGUAGAUGUGUGAGCUUUAAAUGAAUAAAUACCAGCUUGCAGAAACUUUAAGCCAUGCGAGGACUCUGAUAGUGUGAGGCAGGACAUGUGACAAAGCUGAUUAUUCCUGCUUGUGGGAGAAGUGUUCUUCAAGAGGUAUCCAGUCUCCUAUGGAUACCACGCCCAAAGCCAGAAUGAUGUGCUCAGCAUGUGGUCCCCGUGUUCCAGCUCUGUAGCUUGAAGGACCCCGUGUUCCAGCUCCCUCUUUCUCACAAAAGAGGGAGAAUCCCAGUCCAGCUUUGCCCAGAUCUAAACAGCUUUCCACACCCUCAAAACAAGGGUAACUGGCAAGGUACGGAGCUGGACUUGGCUGGACAGAGACCUUGGACAUUUUCAUGGAAAAGGAGUAAAGGUUUGUUUGUGGUUGUGAAUGUUUCCUAUUGGUUCUAACUGUGGAUUCUAGGAGGCCUCCAGUUCAGCUCAAAAUCAAUCUGGGGCAAACAGAGCUGAAUGUGAUCCCUAGAAGCAGACACGUGAAGUACUGAGGAUGACUGAGGGGACUCAGAGAGAAGGAGUUCACACUUAGAGAAUAUUUCACAUUGAUUUAUUCUCAUUCUCUGUGACAUGCAUGUAGUAGAAUAAAUAUUUUAAAAUUAUAAUAAUUAGCAUACCAUAGGAAUGUGUGGAAAAUAGAAGUAGAGGGAUAUAAUAAAAAAUGUUAAAAUGUUUUUUUGUUUUGUUUUGUUUUGUUUUUUUAAGAUAAUAGAAUUUUAAUCAAUGACCAUGGUGGCUUUUUACCUGUUUUGAGUUUUCUAUGAUGAAAUAAAAUAUUAUACUGUAUAUUUGACAAUUACUUUACCCUUUGUAUUUUAGAUUUUAAAAAAUUAUGAUUCAUAUCAGAAAGAAUUGGAAAUGCACUUGAAUUCUUCAUAUUAUUUAAUUUUACUAAUAUUUUAAACUCAGAAUUUUAUAAAGCAAAUAUGAUGACUUUACCAAAACAUGUAAUUAUAGUUUGCGGACAUUUCUUAGAUUAAUAAGUGAGAAUAAUUUCCAGUAACUCAGGAGGAGAACUUCUUCCUGUUUAAAAAUAGUUUUCCUAAUUCUUCCUUCAAAAUGACAAAAACAGUAUUUCCAUAAAGUUAUUACUUGAUAGAUGAAUGGGAAAUAAUAACUCUGUUGAACUUUAAUAAAUUUUAUACAAAUGUUGUCCUAGUUAUGGCAGUUUGGCAUCUUCUCGAAUAUUACCUUGAAUGAUAAAAAAGCAAUGUUAGCUAGUUAGGAUUUUGAAUAACAGACAGAGAAAUUAGGGAGUGGGAAGGAGGAUUUCAUUUCCUUAUUCCUACAGAGAGGGCAGCUGAACCCCAGGCUUCCACUGGUAGAAACCUUGAGUUAAGUUGCUGAAUAGUGUGAGGACAGACACAUACAAUUGUUGAAUCAGUGCUACUAUGACCAGUUUGAUUUCUUUUUUUAUGUGUGCCAUAGCAUUUACAGCCUUGAGAGAAUGAUAGUAAAUUUUCAAAAUUAAUCUCAAAAAUUUCCCUUUGUGAUACUUUAUUUUGGUGUCUAACACACUGAAAACUUGCCUAUUAACAGUGUGGGUUGCCUUGCUAUAUUUUCUGCAAUCUACCUUAGAGACGCUUUGUAGAUUGAAAUUCUUAUUUGAAGAAAGCUGUUAAUUCUCAAGAGUUUAAUCAAGCCCAAGUUUAAUUAAGUACUACUAACUGACCGACUCAUCAGAGGAGAAAGAUUGCUGCUUACUAACAAAUUGUUUGAUUUCUAAAAUCCAUUGUUUACAUUCAAAAAAUUUAUUUUUCAUUUUUUCCCAUUCUAUUAAAGCUUUGAGUCAAUGUUUAAACUGUAUGCAUUUCAGUAUUAUAACAUAUAUCACAUUAAUUAUUAUAUAUGCUUUAUAAUAGAUAUACCAUGUAACAUAUAUGCAAUGUAUAAAAUUCAUUGAUUUUAUUAGAUUAUAUUAUACUACAUGUAGUAUAUAUUACAUAUUUUGCUAAUAUUACAUGUGUACAUAUCAUAAUUAUAUAUAAUAGUAUCAUGUAAUAUUCAAUUCCACUUUAUAUUUAUAUACCCUCAAAAAACUUUACCACAAGAAAAUAUAGGAAUUUCAUGUAUGCAUGCAUUUAUAUAUAUAUGUGUGUGUGUGUGUGUGUGUGUAUAUAUAUAUAUAUAUAUAUAUAUAUAUAUAUAUAUAUAUACGACUUACAAAUAAACAUAGCAAAUUAUUUUAAUUGUACAUUUGAAUAAUUUUUUACUUACCAAUAUUUGAACAGUAACAUUUAUGAAGCUGUAGGUGUAGUUAAGUGGUAGAUCAGUUGCCUAGCCUGUGCAAGGCCCUGAAUUUCUCUUUUAGCACAACAAAAAUAAAUAAAUAAUAAGAUUCAGAGAUGAGUGACAUAAUUCGUCAUUAUUUGAUGGUAACCACAGUAAAAAUAUUUAUAAGAAACUCACAUUAAUUUCCAAUAAGGCCAUAAUGAUAGCAGUGAUAUUUAAUCAUAUACUUGAAGAAUCUACUCAAAACAAUCUUAAGGAAAAAAAAUCUUAGGGAAAAAUUUAGUGAUUAUAUAUAUAUAUAUAUAUAUAUAUAUAUAUCCAUAGACAAUAGAAACAUUAUAAAUGUUUAAAAAUUUUACUUUUAGUUCUUGUUAAUUAUUGUUUAUUUACAAAACAAUGAAAUUUGAACUACAAUUAUAACAUAUGGUGCACAUUAGUGACAUUAGCAUAUCUUAUCACCUUAAGCACAAUAGUUAUUUUAACCCUCAGUAAGUGUUUUAAAGAAUUUCCUGGCCAGACGUGGUGAUGCACACCUUUAAUCCCAGAGACUCAGGAGGCUGGACAGGAAGAUUGCAAGUUUGAGACCAGCCUCAGAAAUACAAUGAGGCUCUAAGGAACUUAUCAAGAACUUCUCUCAAAAUAAAACAUUAAAAAGAGCUGGUAAUUUGGCCCCAGUGGUUAAGUGUCUCUGGGUUAAAUCCCUGAUUUAAAAAAAAUCUAGAAAUGUAUCAGUGGAAGAAAAUGGGCAGUGGAAAAAUAAGCUGCCCAACUCUGUUAUCUGUUAUUUUUUUAUAUCAGUGAUUGAACCCAGAGGAACUUAAUCACUGGGUCACAUCCCUAGACUCUUUAAUAUUUUAUUAAGAGACAGGGACUCACUGAGUUUCUUAGGGCCUCACUAAGUUGCUGAGACUGGCUUUGAACACAUAAUCCUUCUGCUUCAGCCUUCCAAGCCACUAGCAUUACAGGCAUGCAUCACAAAGUACAGCUAUGGCAAAUUUAUUUUUCACAAGGUUCUCAAGUUAAUUCAAGUGAGAAUAGCAUCUUCCACAAAUAAGAUAGGAAUAAAAUUGCAUAUUUAAUGCAAAAGAGUGAUAAUGUAUUUUACAUGGGAUUAUAUAAAUAAUUAACUCAGAAUCAUUCUGGACUUAAAUAUAACAGCUAAAAUUAUUUAAAAAAAUAAAAAUAGUACUGAAUCAAAUGUUCUUGAAUUAGACUGACCAGUGGGUGGAGCCUUAGAUAUGCUUCAAAAAUACAUACACACAAAUAAAUAAAUAAAUUUGAUUUUAAAAAUUUUCUGUGAAAUUUUAUACUAAACAAUAGAAUGCAUAGAUUAUAAAUUAGUGAUAUGAAUCAAAAUAGCUGCAGAUUAAAUGAUAUUAAUAUAGUUGUUCCUGUAGUACCAUCAUUGAGAUUUCAGAGAAUGAAUAAGUUAUGUGAUCUCCUUGCUUCAGGGUCCCAAUUUGUCAAAUUGCUAUAAUUCUCUUCUCUGAAAGAUACUGUAGAUUGUUCCUAUUCUAUUUAAAGAUACUGUAGAUUGUUCCUACUCACAGUUCAUUGUAUAAAAUAUAAACUGCAAUUAUAUUUUUAUAGGAAAAUUUGACACUUAAUAUUCCAUAAGAUUCAACUGCUAUUUUUUUUUAAUAAAUUCAGUAGAAAAUUGGAAUAGCAUUACAAUUUUAUUUGGAAUCCAAAGUGACUAAAUAUUACUUAGAGAAUAUAAUUGAAUCAUUAGCAGGUCUGUUCUUUAAGGCUUUUCUGUUUUUCAAAUGUUUUCUUUUUAAUUGAAAUAUAACAAUUGAAAAUGCUUAUGGCAUACAGUUCGAUAUGUUGGCAUAAGUAUACAUUGUGUAAUGAUUAAAUCAGGGCAAUACACAAUUUUUUUUUCUGUGCAGAAAGAAAAAGGAAAGUAAAGACCAUUACAUUAGGUGUUUUGGUUUGUGUGGUUUUGAAGAUCUGUUUAUACUCACUUUUUAGCACUCACUGACGUUUUUGAGAAUCCAGUUGAGUUCAAAGCCCAGCCUCCUCUUUUCUCUGGCUCUUACAGUGCACUGCCACUUUGUACCCUCCAGAAUCACCCCAGAGCAAGGAACCUUACCUACAGUGAAACUGUAUACAUCCCAGGACACACAAAAUUAUUGAGACUGAUCAGUCAACAACAAGCCCUACUGUCUAGCUGACCUCCUACAAACUGUAUUUCCUCUACAGAUCUGAUUUGUUUUACCCUGUCACUGGCUAAAACCCCCUGGCAGAAAUCUUGUGUGUUCAGUAUCAUAACUUACAAGUAGGGGUGACUUUUAUCUGUACAAAUGUCAUUGUCUUGGGUCCUGAGAAGAAAUAAUUGUCCAAUAUUAAAAAAAAAAAUAAACCUAAGAAAUGAAGGAAAAAAAUGUGAAGAUUGUAGAAAAGUUUACAGACCCCUUUGAUAACAAUAUAAAAUCUUGCAUUCAAUAUGGAAAAUACCUUGGUGGUUUCUUGAUAAAAUACUAAAAUAAGCAGAACCCUCCCCUAAAAAGUUCCAUAAAUAACUGAAAGCAUGUGCUCAGAUGAGUUCUCAUUAACACAUGAGUAUUUAUAACUGAAUGAGACUCAAUGGUGAAAACAACACAAUAUUAAUGGACAAUAGAAAAUUGGUAUGUCUGCAUUGUAAUAUUAUUCAGCAAUAUUAUUUGGCAGUUCUAGAACUGAACUCAGGGUCUUGUGCCUACUAGGAAAGCACUUUACCCCUGAGAUACAACUUCAGUCACAUCCAGCAAUCAUGGUUAUCGAGAGCACUAAAAUAUUACAAUGGAUAUGUAGCUGGGGAACAGUACACUAAGGGAAAUGAAUUCGAGAAAAAAAAAGUGCCAUGUAUUUUAUAUGUGAUAUUAUAUACUAUUUUGAGAAUAAGAAAAUCAAUUGAUGAAAAAUGCCAGGAGCCAAGUGGAGCAGAAACAAGGAAUAACUGCUGGUGGGAACUGGUGAAUCUGCAUGUAAAAUAUAAAAAGUGAUAUGUAAAGAAUAAACAAAAUGAUACAAAAUUGUACCCUCUAAAGUUGGUUACAAAAGUAAACUUAGUUUUACAUGCACUUUGCCAGAAUUAAAAAAAAAAAAUCAUGCAGUUUUUAAAGAACAAAGCAGUCAAGGCCCCGACCCAUAAAAUUAGGCAAUAAAUCAUAAAUGAUGGCAGCUGGAUGAGCUGAAUUCAAGUACAUUUACAUGAACAUACUGUUGCUAUAUGUGUAUGAGACUCAGUUAAUUGUUCUUUUCCUCAGUGCUUAUUUUAUUAUAAUACAUAAAAGUAUUAUCUCUAUCAUGACCAAUAUUUGAAACUUGCCAAGUUUUUACUAUAUUUACAUAAUUCAGUAUACUUAAAUAUGCAUUGUUUCUUUGUUUUUCAGAGCUGUGGAUCAAGCACAGGGCCAGGCACAAGUAUGGCAAGCCUUUCACCACUGAGCCACACUUGGAGUGAAUCUGAUCUCUAGUCCUGAUUAGUUGUCUGUUUAUGAAAGGUCAUCUAAUGCCACAUUUUUUUUUUUAUUUUUAGUGUGUCUAUUUCUUAUGGUUGAAAUAAAACUUUGUCACAUCCUAGUGGCAUUUUGUGGUGGUGAUCCCUGCUGCUGUGGCUGUUUCCUUGACAGAAUGGAAAUCACACACAGGCUUCAGGUGUUAAUGGAUGUGCUCCUCUGUAUUUCACCUGGAGUCUAACCUUACAGUCCCCGCACACCAGUGUGCUCCAGCGCC
rnacentral:lncRNA from 1 species